GUAUAUUUGCGUGAUGGCAGCUGUGUGUCCUUCGGAUAAUCAUGUUAUUGCAGGUAGGCUCUAAACUUGACUGAGGACACUGGGCCCAGAGUUAUCUGAGGGCAUCCGGUUUAACCAGAGUGUUGGUCUGCUAGUGAUGCUUGAUAUUAUUACUUAUAUAACACUAUCCAAAUGAUCAUGUUAUGUGGAAACUGGGCAUCACCGCUCAUUUACACUAUUACAAGCGGCACUCGCAUAACCGCGCUAGCCUCACCUUCAUGUGGGUGCUAACAAGGUAGCAAGCAAGCUAGGUAGUGCUAUGCAUCGUCAGCCAAUCCAGUAGGGGUGAGCUUCGAUUGAUCACUUGCAUUCAGACUAUGUGAGCGGAACAGAGCGGGAGCAGAGCGAAGAGGAGCACACAGGUGUAAAAUCAAGGUGAUUUACAAAGAUGAGGUGGACCAAGCGCAAAAGAGGGAGUGCGGUGAUAUAGUGUCCACAAUUAAAGAAUCGUUGUGGAAUCUGAAAAUACACAUAUCCCAAAAGCAUGAGUUGACCUGAGCUCUAGGACCAUGCCUCAGGACUACCUGGCGUGAUGACUCCUUGCUGUCCCCAGUCCACCUGGCCGUGCUGCUGCUCCAGUUUCAACUGUUCUGCCUGCGGCUGUUCACCGGAGGUGCUACCUAUCCCAGACCUGCUGUUUUCAACUCUCUAGAGAAGGCAGGAGCGGUAGAGAUCCUCUUAAUGAUCGGCUAUGAAAAGCCAACUGACAUUUACUCCUGAGGUGCUGACUUGUUGCACCCUCGACAACUACUGUGAUUAUUAUUAUUUGACCAUGCUAGUCAUUUAUGAACAUUUGAACAUCUUGGCCAUGUUCUGUUAUAAUCUCCACCCGGCACAGCCAGAAGAGGACUGGCCACCCCUCAUAGCCUGUUUCCUCUCUAGGUUUCUUUCUAGGUUUUGGCCUUUCAUAGGGAGUUUUUCCUAGCCACUGUGCUUCUACACCUGCAUUGCUUGCCAGGCAUCCCAUCCAGCCUGGCAAGAGUGUCCUGAAGGGUGUAUAGCAUCCUCAGUUGCUCUGCAAGCAUGGAGAGGGUCUAUUCUCCGCUGCUGGCAUUCUUUCCAGGCACCAUCGCGUGAGCCUGAAGCCACAGACUCUGGCCAAACUCGUGUUUCUAAAAGUGAAUUCAAAGACACUGUAGACUGAGCCUAAUAAGGCAUUUUUAGUUACAUUUGUAUUUAAUUCUAAGUAAGUCACAGCCUAUAUGCACAAUGUAUAGGCUAUAAUGAUUUAAUACAACAAAAUAUUGUAAGGAUCUCUACAGGAUCAGUGUCCCACCCUCGGGACUGUUGAGCUAACGUGCUAAUGGGAUUCACAUGACGCUGUAAGUAACAAGAACAUUUCCCAAGACAGACAUGUCUUAUAUGGACAGAAAGUGUAAAUUAUUGUUAAUCUAACUGCACUCUCCAAUUUACAGUAGUGAUUAGUGAAAGCAUAAAAUGCUAUUGUUUGCGGAGAGUGCACUUGUACUUGAAAAUGUAUAUAUUGACAAAUUAGGCACAUUUGGGCAGACUUGAUACAACAUUUUGAACAGAAAUUCAAUGGUUCAUUGGAUCAGUCUAAAACUUUGCACAUACACUGCUGCCAUCUAGUGGCCAAAAUCUAAAUUGUGCCUAGAGUUUUGCUAGCACAGACUGGUAUAUGUUCCGGGAUUCUUCAGAUGGCAUUGAGGAGUACACCACAUCAGUCGCUGGUUUCAUCAAUAAGUGCAUCGAGGACGACAUUGUCCCCACAGGGACUGUAUGUACAUACCCCAAUCAGAAGACAUGGAUUACAGGCAACAUCCUCACUGAGCUAAAGGCUGGAGCUGCCACUUUCAAGGGGUGGGACUCUAACCCGGAAGCUUAUAAGAAAUUUCGCUAUGCCUUCCGACGAAACAUCAAACAGGAAAAGCGCCAAUACAGGACUAAGAUCGAAUCGCACUACACCGGCUCCGAUGUUCGUCCGAUGUGGCAGGGCUUGCAAACUAUUACAGAUUUACAAAGGGAAGCACAGCCGAGAGCAGCCCAGUGACACAAGCCUACCAUAUGAGCUAAAUUACUUCUAUUCUCGCUUCGAGGCAAGUAACACUUCAACAUGCAUGAGAGCACCAGCUGAUCCCAAACGACUGUGUGAUCACGCUCUCCACAGCCAAUGUGAGUAAGACUUUUAAACAGGUCAACAUUCCCAAGGCUGCAGGGCCAGACGGAUUAUAUGGAUGUGUGCUCCGAGCAUGCACUGACCAACUGGCAAGUGUCUUCACUGACAUUUUCAACCUCUCCCUGUCUGAGUCUGUAGUUCCAACAUGUUUCAAGCAGACCAACAGUGUCCCUGUGCCCAAGAACACUAAGGUAACCUGCCUCAAUGACUACCGACCUGUAGCACUCACGUCUGUAGCCAUGACGUGCUUUGAAAGGCUGGUCAUGGCUCACAUCUAAGCCGUUAUCCCAGAAACCCUAAACAAUUUGCAUACAGCACCAACAGAUCCACAGAUGAUGCAAUCUCUAUUGCAUUCCACACUGCCCUUUCACACCUGGACAAAAGGAACACCUAUGUUAGAAUGCCAUUCAUUGACUACAGCUCAGCGUUCAACACCAUAGUGCCCUCAAAGCUCAUCACUAAGCUAAGGACCGUGGGACACCUCCCUCUGCAACUGGAUCCUGGACUUCCUGAUGGGCAGCCUCCAGGUGGUAAGUGUAGGUAACAACACAUCCGCCAUGCUGAUCCUCAACACAGGGGCCCCUCAGGGGUGCGUGCUCAGUCCCCUCCAGUACUCCCUGUUCACUCAUGACUGCACGGCCAGGCAUGACUCCAACACCAUCAUUAAGUUUGCCGAUGACAGUGGUAGGCCUGAUCACCAACAACGACAAGACAGCAUAUAGGGAGGAGGUCAGAGACCUGGCUGUGUGGUUCCAGGACAACAACCCCUCCCUCAAUGUGAUCAAGACUGAGGAGGUGAUUGUGGACUACAGGAAAAGGAGGACCGAGCACGCCCCCAUUCUCAUCGACAGGGCUGUAGUGGAUCAGGUUGAGUUCUUCAAGUUCCUUGGUGUCCACAUCACCAACAAACUAACAUGGUCUAAGCACACCAAGACAGUCGUGAAGAGGGCAUGACAAAACCUAUUCCCCCUCAGGAGACUCAAAAGAUUUGGCAUGGGUCCUCAGAUCUUCAAAAGGUUCUACAGCUGCAUUCUGAUGGGUUGCAUCACUGCCUGGUAUGGCAACUGCUCUGCUUCUGACCGCAAGGCACCACAGAGGGUGGUGCGUACGGCCCAGUACAUCACUGGGGCCAAGCUUCCUGUCAUCCAGGACCUCUUUACCAGGCGGUGUCAGAGUAAGACCCUAAAAAUGGUCAAAGACUCCAGCCACCCUAGUCAUAGACUGUUCUCUCUGCUACCGCACGUCAAGCGGUACCGGAGUGCCAAGUCUAGGUCCAAGAGGCUUCUUAACAGCUUCUACCCCCAAGCCAUAAGACUCCUGAACAUCUAAUCAAAUGGCUACCCAGACUACUUGCACCCCCCCACCCCUCUUCUACGCUGCUGCUACUCUCUGUUAUUAUCUAUGCAUAUGUCACUUUAAAAUCUCUACCCAUAAGUAUAUACUACCUCAAUUACCUCAACUAACCGGUGCCCCCGCACAUUGACUCUGUACCGGUACCCCCUGUAUAUAGCCUCGCUAUUGUUAUUUUACAGCUGCUCUUUAAUUAUUUGUUACUUUUAUUUCUUAUAUUUUUAUGUAUUAUCUUUUUAAACUGCAUUGUUGGUUAAGGGCUUGUAAGUAAGCAUUUCACUGUAAGGUUUUGUAUUCGGAGCAUAUAUGACAAAUAAAAUUUGAUUUGAA
ensembl:lncRNA